rnacentral:rRNA from 2 species
UAAUUGAAGAGUUUGAUCAUGGCUCAGAUUGAACGCUGGCGGCAGGCCUAACACAUGCAAGUCGGGCGGUAACAGGG